AGAGUUUGAUCCUGGCUCAGAUUGAACGCUGGCGGCAUGCCUUACACAUGCAAGUCGAACGGCAGCAUGAUCUAGCUUGCUAGAUUGAUGGCGAGUGGCGAACGGGUGAGUAAUACAUCGGAACGUGCCCUGUAGUGGGGGAUAACUAGUCGAAAGAUUAGCUAAUACCGCAUACGACCUGAGGGUGAAAGUGGGGGACCGCAAGGCCUCAUGCUAUAGGAGCGGCCGAUGUCUGAUUAGCUAGUUGGUGAGGUAAAGGCUCACCAAGGCGACGAUCAGUAGCUGGUCUGAGAGGACGAUCAGCCACACUGGGACUGAGACACGGCCCAGACUCCUACGGGAGGCAGCAGUGGGGAAUUUUGGACAAUGGGCGAAAGCCUGAUCCAGCAAUGCCGCGUGUGUGAAGAAGGCCUUCGGGUUGUAAAGCACUUUUGUCCGGAAAGAAAUGGCUCUGGUUAAUACCUGGGGUCGAUGACGGUACCGGAAGAAUAAGGACCGGCUAACUACGUGCCAGCAGCCGCGGUAAUACGUAGGGUCCAAGCGUUAAUCGGAAUUACUGGGCGUAAAGCGUGCGCAGGCGGUUGUGCAAGACCGAUGUGAAAUCCCCGAGCUUAACUUGGGAAUUGCAUUGGUGACUGCACGGCUAGAGUGUGUCAGAGGGGGGUAGAAUUCCACGUGUAGCAGUGAAAUGCGUAGAGAUGUGGAGGAAUACCGAUGGCGAAGGCAGCCCCCUGGGAUAACACUGACGCUCAUGCACGAAAGCGUGGGGAGCAAACAGGAUUAGAUACCCUGGUAGUCCACGCCCUAAACGAUGUCAACUAGUUGUUGGGGAUUCAUUUCCUUAGUAACGUAGCUAACGCGUGAAGUUGACCGCCUGGGGAGUACGGUCGCAAGAUUAAAACUCAAAGGAAUUGACGGGGACCCGCACAAGCGGUGGAUGAUGUGGAUUAAUUCGAUGCAACGCGAAAAACCUUACCUACCCUUGACAUGCCACUAACGAAGCAGAGAUGCAUUAGGUGCUCGAAAGAGAAAGUGGACACAGGU
rnacentral:rRNA from 1 species